AAUACCGCAUAACGUCGCAAGACCAAAGAGGGGGACCUUCGGGCCUCUUGCCAUCAGAUGUGCCCAGAUGGGAUUAGCUAGUUGGUGAGGUAACGGCUCACCAAGGCGACGAUCCCUAGCUGGUCUGAGAGGAUGACCAGCCACACUGGAACUGAGACACGGUCCAGACUCCUACGGGAGGCAGCAGUGGGGAAUAUUGCACAAUGGGCGCAAGCCUGAUGCAGCCAUGCCGCGUGUAUGAAGAAGGCCUUCGGGUUGUAAAGUACUUUCAGCGGGGAGGAAGGUGUUGUGGUUAAUAACCGCAGCAAUUGACGUUACCCGCAGAAGAAGCACCGGCUAACUCCGUGCCAGCAGCCGCGGUAAUACGGAGGGUGCAAGCGUUAAUCGGAAUUACUGGGCGUAAAGCGCACGCAGGCGGUCUGUCAAGUCGGAUGUGAAAUCCCCGGGCUCAACCUGGGAACUGCAUUCGAAACUGGCAGGCUUGAGUCUUGUAGAGGGGGGUAGAAUUCCAGGUGUAGCGGUGAAAUGCGUAGAGAUCUGGA
rnacentral:rRNA from 2 species